GCACAAUUUUGGCUCACUGCAACCUCUGCCUCCCAGGUUCAAGCAAUUCUCAUGCCUCAGCCUCCCGAGUAGCUGGGAUUGUGUGCCAAAUCAUUCACCCCUCACCACAACCGAAUGAGCUAAGGAUUCUCAUUAUAUAUAGUUUAUGGAGAGGGAAGUGCAGACAUAAAGAGGUGAAUUGUCUUACCCAGAUCACACAGCUGAUAAGUGGUGGAGGCAGAAUAGAAUCUAAACAGUGUGGCUCCGGAGCCCACAUGCAUUGAUUCGACAAGUGUUUAUUGAGCACCUGCCACGGACAAGGCCUUGUGUGAUUAAAUAGGGUUAUAAUUAGUAAUAUAAAAAUGAGAAAUCACUAAUGCUUUUUAGACUUAACAUUUUCUUUUUUUGUAGGUUUCAGGCACAGAACUGUAUAUCCAAUAAUAGUGAAAUGGAUCCCACUAAUUAUGACAGAAAUGAUGAUACAUUUAAAUGACUUGGAUGUUUUAUAGGUAUGAUCUCGUGAAACCUUGAGAGAAACUGAAUGACGAAUGAAACUAUUGUUCCUGUUUCACACAGAAGAAAACUGAGGUUAAAAGGGUUCCUGUCGCAUGACCAGAGCCAGUUCACCA
rnacentral:lncRNA from 10 species